rnacentral:rRNA from 2 species
CUUAAAUUGAAGAGUUUGAUCAUGGCUCAGAUUGAACGCUGGCGGCAGGCCUAACACAUGCAAGUCGGGCGGUAGCACAGAAGAGCUUGCUCUUUGGGUGACGAGCGGCGGACGGGUGAGUAAUGUCUGGGAAACUGCCUGAUGGAGGGGGAUAACUACUGGAAACGGUAGCUAAUACCGCAUAACCUCGCAAGAGCAAAGAGGGGGACCUUCGGGCCUCUCGCCAUCAGAUGUGCCCAGAUGGGAUUAGCUAGUAGGUGAGGUAAUGGCUCACCUAGGCGACGAUCCCUAGCUGGUCUGAGAGGAUGACCAGCCACACUGGAACUGAGACACGGUCCAGACUCCUACGGGAGGCAGCAGUGGGGAAUAUUGCACAAUGGGCGCAAGCCUGAUGCAGCCAUGCCGCGUGUGUGAAGAAGGCCUUCGGGUUGUAAAGCACUUUCAGCGGGGAGGAAGGCGGUAA